rnacentral:misc_RNA from 1 species
UGCUUCGACAAGCUCAGGCCACUGAGAUUGAAGAACUGAAGCAAAAGGUUGCUAUGCUGACAGAGUCAAAAGAACAACUAGAAACCCGGAACCAAAAAUUGGCAGAUGAGAGUUCAUAUGCGAAAGGGCUAGCCUCAGCUGCUGCUGCUGAGCUCAAGGCAUUGUCAGAAGAAGUUGCCAAGCUCAUGAAUCAAAAUGAGAGACUAGCUGCUGAUCUGGCAGCACAAAAGAACUCGCCC